rnacentral:rRNA from 2 species
UACGAAGGGUGCAAGCGUUACUCGGAAUUACUGGGCGUAAAGCGUGCGUAGGUGGUUCGUUAAGUCUGAUGUGAAAGCCCCGGGCUCAACCUGGGAACUGCAUUGGAUACUGGCGAUCUGGAGUGCGGUAGAGGGUGGCGGAAUUCCCGGUGUAGCAGUGAAAUGCGUAGAUAUCGGGAGGAACAUCCGUGGCGAAGGCGGCCACCUGGACCAGCACUGACACUGAGGCACGAAAGCGUGGGGAGCAAACAGG